UACGUAGGUGGCAAGCGUUGUCCGGAUUUAUUGGGUUUAAAGGGUGCGUAGGCGGCUUAUUAAGUCAGUGGUGAAAUACCCUAGCUCAACUAGAGGGGUGCCAUUGAUACUGAUGAGCUUGAGUACAGAUGAGGUAGGCGGAAUUGACGGUGUAGCGGUGAAAUGCUUAGAUAUCGUCAAGAACACCUAUAGCGAAGGCAGCUUACUAGGCUGUAACUGACGCUGAGGCACGAAAGUGUGGGGAUCAAACAGG
rnacentral:rRNA from 1 species